GCCUAGCUAGCUCAGUUGGAGGAGCAUGAGACUCUUGAUCUCAGGGUCAUGAGUUCGAGCCCCAUUUGGGCU
rnacentral:tRNA from 1 species